CGUAGGUGGCAAGCGUUGUCCGGAUUACUGGGCGUAAGAGCGCGCAGGCGGCUGGUCAAGUCCGAUGUGAAUCUCCCGGCUCAACUGGGAAACUGCAUCGGAACUGAUCGGCUUGAAGGUGGGAGAGGGUAGUGGAAUUCCCGGUGUAGUGGUGAAAUGCGUAGAUAUCGGGAGGAACACCAGUGGCGAAGGCGACUACCUGGCCCAUUCUUGACGCUGAGGCGCGAAAGCUAGGGGAGCGAACGGGAUU
rnacentral:rRNA from 1 species